GAUGAACGCUGGCGGCGUGCCUAAUACAUGCAAGUCGAGCGAACGGACGAGAAGCUUGCUUCUCUGAUGUUAGCGGUGGACGGGUGAGUAACACGUGGAUAACCUACCUAUAAGACUGGGAUGACUUCGGGAAACCGGAGCUAAUACCGGAUAAUAUUUUGAACCGCAUGGUUCAAAAGUGAAAGACGGUCUUGCUGUCACUUAUAGAUGGAUCCGCGCUGCAUUAGCUAGUUGGUAAGGUAACGGCUUACCAAGGCAACGAUGCAUAGCCGACCUGAGAGGGUGAUCGGCCACACUGGAACUGAGACACGGUCCAGACUCCUACGGGAGGCAGCAGUAGGGAAUCUUCCGCAAUGGGCGAAAGCCUGACGGAGCAACGCCGCGUGAGUGAUGAAGGUCUUCGGAUCGUAAAACUCUGUUAUUAGGGAAGAACAUAUGUGUAAGUAACUGUGCACAUCUUGACGGUACCUAAUCAGAAAGCCACGGCUAACUACGUG
rnacentral:rRNA from 1 species